UACGGGGGGAGCAAGCGUUGUUCGGAUUUACUGGGCGUAAAGGGCGCGUAGGCGGCCAGCACAAGUCAGUUGUGAAAUCUCCGAGCUUAACUCGGAACGGUCAACUGAUACUGUGCGGCUAGAGUGCGGAAGGGGCAACUGGAAUUCUUGGUGUAGCGGUGAAAUGCGUAGAUAUCAAGAGGAACACCCGCGGCGAAGGCGGGUUGCUGGGCCGACACUGACGCUGAGGCGCGAAAGCCAGGGGAGCGAACGGG
rnacentral:rRNA from 1 species